GCAAGGGGAAAAACCUUUUCUAUUCUUUGAUUUCAAAUUUCAAAUAAUUGAUAAAUCAUAUUCAAGAAAGUAAUUUCUAAUUCGAUUUUCCAUAUCCAAAGAGACUUUCAGAUGGGAAGUGAACAAAAUGGGAAAGUUCCCAAUGUCAAUGAGCCUACUGCUAGAAUUGAUGAUGAAAAUACCUUGAACCAAAGUGGUUCUAUGACACAAGGUUCUGGUCGUGCCUUGAAUGUAAAUAGUGAAGACAAUGGCAAACUGAAUGAGGUUGUUAUGAACCUACAUAAUGUACCAUAUAUUUAUAGACAAGAUAUUGUGAGGCGUAAAAAGACUGGGACAAUUGGAAUAGUGAAUGAAGUUGCCGGUGACUCGGAUUCUGAUAGCAGCAUUACUGAUGAUGAGGAAGAUGAAGAUGAAGACGAGGGAGAUGAGGUUGAUGAUGAAAAUCAAGAAGGUGAUACUGAUGGGAAUGCCAAUGCUAACAGGAGCAGUGACAAGAGCAAAGGUAGUGGUAACUAUAAGAAUGAAACCCUUCAGGCUGACCAGGUCCGAGUACUUUGGAUGGAUGACACAGAACCAAUCCAACAUGUUAAUGAUAUAAAAGUUGUUGAUAGGGUAUUCUUACAUGGGGAUUUUGUUGCUUCAGCUUCAGAUCCAACUGGGCAAGUGGGUGUUGUGCUAGAUGUCAAUAUAUCUGUUGAUUUGUUAGUUCCUGAUGGAUCUAUUAUAAAAGAUGUGUCAUCCAGAGAGUUGAAGCGAGUGAGGGAGUUUGCUAUUGGUGAUUAUGUGGUCCUUGGUCCAUGGUUGGGUAGGGUUGAUGAUGUUUUAGACAAUGUGACUGUGCUAAUUGAUGAUGGUUCUGUGUGUAAAGUAACUGGGGCUGAGCCACUGCGUCUCAAACCAAUAUCCAAGAGUAACUUUGAUGAAGACGAACAUAUUCCUUACUAUCCAGGGCAGCGGGUAAGGGCAAGCUCAUCAUCAGUUUUUAAGAAUUCUCGGUUCCAAAUAGGUUUGUGGAAAGCUAAUCGGUUGGAAGGUACUGUUACUAAAGUAACAGCUGGAUCAGUAUUCAUCUAUUGGAUAGCAUCUGCUGGCCAUGGGCCUGAUUCUUCAACAGCCCCUGCUGAAGAGCAGAGUCCGAAAAACUUAAAACUGCUGUCUUGUUUUGCACAUGCAAAUUGGCAAGUAGGUGAUUGGUGUCUUCUCCCACCUGCUAUAAGGCAAUCAUCCUCAAUCACCUUGGACAAAGAUCUGUCAAAGUUAGAGCUUCGUGAUUCAAUCAAACGUGAAUUAAAUGCUAGCCAGCUGGAAAAUGGAUGUGAUUCAGAAGAAGUUGCACUAGAAGAAUCAGAUGGAAAUAAUGAAACCAUGGAUAUUGAUCCAGUGGUUGCUUCUGAUGGAAUUAAUGGAAAUAUUGAAAGUAAUGUUUCAUCUGAAUCUAGCUCGUGUGGUAGUUCAACAUCAGUUUCAAAGGAUCCUGUCCAUGAAACUUGGCCUCUUCACCGCAAAAAGAUACGCAAAGUUGUAAUUAGGAGAGAAAAGAAGGCUCGAAAGAAAGAGGAAAACUUUGAAAGAGCCCUUCUAAUUGUCAAUACCAGGACAAGGGUUGAUGUGGCAUGGCAGGAUGGAACGAUAGAACGUGGACUGGAAUCGACAAUGUUGAUCCCAAUUGAUAGUCCCGGUGAUCAUGAAUUUACUUCUGAACAGUAUGUGGUGGAGAAGUCCUCUGAUGAUAUCGAUAAUGCUUCUGAAGCUAGACGUGUUGGAGUUGUGAAAAGUGUUAAUGCAAAAGAGCGAACAGCAUGUGUAAGGUGGUUAAAGCAAGUUACCAGGGCAGAAGAUCCUCGCGAGUUUGACAAAGAGGAAAUUGUAAGUGUGUAUGAGCUAGAGGGACAUCCAGAUUAUGAUUACUCCUAUGGGGAUGUGGUUGUUCGAUUAGCCCCAGUUUCAGUAUCUGCACGAGUUACCUCUGACGGAGAGUCUGUUGGAGAACUAAAGCGGAAAGCUGCACCAAAUGAUACUGUAAAUGUGAAAAAACGCUCAGGAAGUAAGAAAGAAGAUGAUGAAUCCACUGGUGAAGCUUGUAUGGAUUUCUCAGAUCUCUCUUGGGUUGGAAAUAUAACUGGUCUGAGAAAUGGGGAUAUUGAGGUCACGUGGGCUGAUGGGAUGGUUUCAACGGUUGGACCUCAAGCAAUCUUUGUUGUUGGUCGAGAUGAUGAUGAUGAUGACUCAAUUGCAGCUGGGAGUGAAUUAAGUGAUGAUGCAGCUAGUUGGGAAACAGUUGAUGAUGAUGAGAUGGAUGCCCUUGAGAAUGUUCAAGAGGAAGUUGGGCUACGAAAUGCUGCUGAUGUGAACUCUGAGGCAGAAGAGACUGUGGGGAAUAAUAAUUCUGGAAGAAAUCCAGCACUUUCUCUCCCUUUGGCUGCACUUGGCUUUGUUACAAGACUGGCCACUGGAAUCUUCUCAAGAGGACGAAAAAAUGUAGAUUCAGAUUUUUCUGAAUCCAGGGGUGAAAAUGGACUUCAGACAGAUGGAGUAAAGAAUAUUUCUGAGGGAAGGGAUUCUGCUUAUGAGACAAACGCUCAGAAAUUUAAUGUCCUAGAUAAUGGGGGUGUGCAAAGUAGUCAUGGUAAAGUAGAGGAACAGGCUGUUGUGGGCUUGGAGGUGCCAAUAUCAUCAGAUGCAGCAGAAACUUUAUGCAAUUUGAGCACAGAUAAAUCAGAUCCUCCAACAUGUUUUGAGGAUGACACUUGCAGUUUCAAACGCUUUGAUAUAGCUAAAGAUCCUCUGGACCAUUAUUUUCUUGGUUCAACUGCACAGAUUAACAAUGGAAGGAAGUGGCUCAAGAAGGUUCAGCAAGAUUGGAACAUUCUUCAGAACAACUUGCCUGAUGGGAUCUAUGUACGAGUUUAUGAAGAUCGAAUGGAUCUCUUAAGGGCAGUAAUUGUUGGGGCAUAUGGAACGCCCUAUCAAGAUGGACUAUUCUUUUUUGAUUUUCACCUUCCACCAGAGUAUCCAGAUGUGCCACUGUCAGCAUAUUACCAUUCUGGUGGUUGGCGAAUAAAUCCGAAUUUGUAUGAGGAGGGCAAGGUGUGCCUUAGCCUUUUAAAUACCUGGACUGGCAGAGGCAAUGAAGUUUGGGAUCCAAAUUCUUCUAGCAUCCUUCAAGUUCUAGUUUCACUUCAGGGUUUAGUGCUAAAUUCUAAGCCAUAUUUUAAUGAAGCUGGAUAUGAUAAACAAAUUGGGACAGCCGAAGGAGAGAAGAAUUCACUGUCGUAUAAUGAAAACACAUUUUUACUAAGUUGCAAAACAAUGAUGCAUCUUAUGCGAAAGCCCCCCAAGGUAAUAUAUUAAAUUGUUUGUACUUGUUUCAUUGUCAACUUUAUUCAUCUUCUUUAUGCAUUACUUUUAACUAGAAUUUUUUUUUGGCAUUACCUUUCUCCAAUCUUUUGGGAUCACAACUUUGGUGAGUGGUGUGGUUAAUUAGUGCUAUAGCCCUGUAGCUUUUGUCUGCUGGAACUUUAUUUCUGAACUAUAUUUAUGUCUUCCAAUUAAGCCAAAUGAAAAGCUUAUUAGUUCGGCUUGAAUGGCAAUUUUCACAAGCCUUGGUCAAUCCCUAUAUAUAUUGAGUGAUCCUUGCCCAAUCUCAUCCACUCCAGUUCAGCCCUUUUUAUGCAUUGGCCAUUUCUCAUUGCUAUGCUUGUUGGUUGGUCAACUUGUGUUGGAAUGCUAAUUAGCAUACUUCUGUCUGCUUGUGAAGCCUCUUCCAACAAAAAACCCAGCUGUGUUAGGAUAAUUCUUUAUUAUUUUUGCAAGGGAGGUUAACAAUAAUGUGAAUGGAAAAAAGAAAUAUUGUUUAUUUAUUUAAUCUUUAAAUGCUGUUUUCCAGACCAAGUUGUUGCUGUAUUUGGAUAGAUAUUUUUUCAAAGAAAUUAUUGGUACUCCCUGUGUAUGUGCACCUUCUCUCACAACCAUAUGGGUUUACUCUACUCAUUUUCAGAUGGAUCUUGCAUGUUUAUGAGUACAAGUGCACUAUAUUCACGUGCAUAGGGAGCAUCUGUAAAUUUCUCAUUUUUUCUUCACCUUUUCAUCCAUCCUUCUAGUAGGCUUUCCUGAAAAUCAAAUCCCUCCUUAAUUGAGCUUGCUAGAAAUUCCAAUUUGCCUCUCUCUCUCUGGAAUGAGUUAGAAGAUGCAAUGGCCCUUGAACUACAAGCUUGAUUAUUCAUACUUAAAAUAAAACGAUGUCUUUUUUGGAUAGUUUGUAUAUUAUAUCAGGAUUUGGAUUUUAUGAAAAGUGGCAUUUUAUUUAGUCGAAUAUGGUGGGUUCCUUUUGGUUGAAGAGCGAGAUUUUGCUAUCAACAAUAACAUGUAAAGAACUAGAAUGUUUGACCUUGUUUUGCUCAUUAUAGGCUAUUUUACAAUAUGAGACGUUAGUUGUUUGCUUUUAUUGAGGAAAUAGUUAUGAUUUUUAUGGUUGUGAACAUUUUACAUCACAAGACUUUGGUUUGACUUUUUAUUUGGAGCAUCAGUUGCCAAAAAUUUUUUACAAAUUUUAAUUUACUAUUCUCCUUUUUCCCCUUCUUUCUUUUUAUUUUUUAUUUUUCUGUUACAUGUACGCUGUUUGCUUAUUAGUGGAAUGUUUCCCAUGUUGAUGCAUGUCAGGAUUUUGAGGGCCUGGUCAAAGAGCAUUUCAAGAAACGUGGUUACUACAUUCUCAAGGCCUGUGAUGCAUACAUGAAAGGCAGUUUAAUAGGUUCUCUUACCAAAGAUGCCUCUAUAAGCAACAAUGACAAUUCCAAUUUAACUUCAGUUGGUUUCAAGCUAAUGUUAGCUAAGAUUGUGCCAAAGCUGUACAUGGCAUUGAGUGAAGUUGGAGCUGAUUGUCAUAAUUUUAACCAUCUGCUAAAAUCAUAAAAAGUUUGAUAAGCCAGUCUUCCAACAUAAAAAUCAAUCCAACA
rnacentral:misc_RNA from 1 species